rnacentral:miRNA from 1 species
GCAGACACAUUCCAGCCAAUCAGCAGCAGACCCUCCCUCCCAGACCCUCCCACCUCCUGGACAUCUCACUAAGAAUGCAGCUUCACAAUGAAUGUAAAAUGGAUGCUGUCCAGGAGGUGGGAGGGUCUGGGAGGGAGGGUCUGCUGCUGAUUGGCUGGAAUGUGUCUG